ACACCGUCUCAAUUUCAAGAACACAUCACUAAACAACAAGAAUAAGAACAAAAACUAAACAAAUUCAAUCUAACAGAUGAAUUCAAGAGACAUACUUCAGAGAUGAAGUCUCAAUUUCAAAUCUAAACAAUAACAAGAACAAAAACUAAACAAAUGCAAUUGCUCUAAUAACAUGAAACUCAAGCAAUUGUUGGAUUCUCAGGUGCGGAUUUCCAAACAAUGUCCUUGAGUGCUGGCCUAAGCUCUUUGCUGCAGAAUUGAUUA
rnacentral:misc_RNA from 1 species